AACCUAAAUUUUUGAGGUAUUACGUGUAGUGCCACGAGGCAUAAUUGUAAAGAUUAAGAACGAGAAUAUCAGAUUAAGAUUGGAUAAUAAGGACUUAGACCGAAGUGGGUCUAUUGGAAUUAUCAUAAAAUAAUAAUUUUAAAUGGAAAAUUAUUAUGCGAUGAAUUGGAUUUGAACGGAAUUAGAAAGAAAGGAAGUAGAAUAAAAAUAAAAUACGUUGGAAAGCCCGAACUAAUAAUAUUCACGCUAAGGUCCAUGAAAUAUUAUUAAUAAACGAUCGUCAAGUUUCGUAAGUAUAUGAAAGCGUCUUAGAAGAUAGUUUGACAAUUAGUUAAGAAUAAGGUUUAAAGUGCAAAUUAGCCACUUUAAGGACUAAAGUGGACUUUUAACCACAAACUUUCGGAGGAAAUUGUGCCUUACUCUAUUUUCUCAAAAUGAGAAAAUAAUAUCGAUAAAGUUGUUAUCGAUAGUUAUUAGAAUGAAAAUUGGACGUAAAAGUGAGAAAAGUGCAAGUUAGCUCAAAAUGGAAAUUUGAGCGUUUUUGGCUAAAAUUACCAAAGUAAAUUAUUAUAAAGUGAUAUUAUAAGAUGUGAGACUAAUGUUAUUUAUUUGAGAAAUAAAUAAUAUGGAAUUUAUCGAGAAUCGAAUGAUUAAAGGAUUAAUGGACUAAAUCGGACGAAAGAAAAGUUAAGGAUUAAGUAGUGAGGAGGUGGCAAUUUAAAGGACCUAAUUGGACUUUAAUCAACAACUUACUUACUAAGGGAAUGAGAUAUAUUCUCAGAUUUUCCUUCAUGAUUCAAAAAGAAAUAAAAAGAAGAGAUAAGAGAGAAAAGCUAUGGAGAAGUGAAAAUGGAGUGUUUGAUUUCAAAACGAGCUACGGAACUCGUUUCUCGUCCAAAUUGGACGAUUUUUGCGGCCACGGAACGAGAAAAUAAUUAUCUACAGAUCUAUAGCUUCAAUUUGAGAUAAUAAACUCAAAUUACAGUUAGGGUUUCAGGUUUUAAUAUUUCGGUUUUUGUUAAAGUUUGAUGAAAAUGGUUGUUUGGUUAUGUAUGAUGAUUAGGAGCUAUGAUUAUGGAAUUUUGAUGGUUGUUCAUGGAGGAAUUCAUUCAGCCAAAGGGUUAUACCAUCAAACAAAGACCGGACGAGUGACUAUCGAUACGGCUCGAGGCGAACGGAUUGAGAUAUCGUUGUGCUUAUUUGAAGAAUUUGGAUAGCAAGUGACAAACCGAGAGGCGACGGGAUCGACGGUUUUGGUCUAGGAGUAUUCGGCCAAAACUAAUGCGUGUAAAUGAUUUGGAUUGGAAAGUAAGGAGUACCUAGACUUGGAGUGACUACAAGUCCAUCAAUUUGCCGGAAGUUUGUUUAGCUAUGUACAGUUCGACUUCCGCGACCGCUGCAGUAGUACAUUGUGUGACCAGUCAUGACCUAGGAUAAUGUUAUAGUGUUGGAAAAUGUUUAUAAUUGCUGUUGUGUAUAAAAUGAAUAUUAUAACAAUAUUAGAUAUACAUAGUCAGUGUUUAUAAAAUGGCUAGUAAUGUUUUCAUAAUUAAAUGCUUCCGUGUUAUAACAUAAUUGCGAAAAAUUUAUAGUGAAUUUCAGGCUUGCUACGGGAUUCGGAA